GACGAACGUUGGCGGCGUGCUUAAUACAUGCAAGUCAACUGAAGCAGUGGUAGCAAUCUCGCUGUGGAGGUGGCGCACGGGUGAGUAACACGUAGGUAAUCUGCCUUCAGGUCUGGCAUAACUCCGGGAAACCGGGGCUAAUAGCAGAUGAUGCAGCGGCUUGACAUCGAGACAGUUGUUAAAGCUAUGGCGCCUGAAGAUGAGCCUGCGUCUGAUUAGCUAGUUGGCGGGGUAACGGCCCACCAAGGCAACGAUCAGUAGCUGGUCUGAGAGGAUGAUCAGCCACACUGGAACUGAGACACGGUCCAGACUCCUACGGGAGGCAGCAGUAAGGAAUAUUGCUCAAUGGGAGAAAUCCUGAAGCAGCAACGCCGCGUGAGGGACGAAGGGCUUUUGCUUGUAAACCUCUGUAGUGAGAGAAAAAAAUCCCAAUCUUUGGGACAUGAUGGUAUCUCAAAAGUAAGCCCCGGCUAACUACGUG
rnacentral:rRNA from 1 species